rnacentral:tRNA from 1 species
CCCUGUGUGGCUCAGUUGGUAGAGCAUGGUGUUUGCAACGCCAGGGUUGUGACUUCGAUUCCCACGGGGG